UCCUGGCUCAGGAUGAACGCUGGCGGCGUGCCUAAUACAUGCAAGUCGAGCGAAUGGAUUAAGAGCUUGCUCUUAUGAAGUUAGCGGCGGACGGGUGAGUAACACGUGGGUAACCUGCCCAUAAGACUGGGAUAACUCCGGGAAACCGGGGCUAAUACCGGAUAACAUUUUGAACCGCAUGGUUCGAAAUUGAAAGGCGGCUUCGGCUGUCACUUAUGGAUGGACCCGCGUCGCAUUAGCUAGUUGGUGAGGUAACGGCUCACCAAGGCAACGAUGCGUAGCCGACCUGAGAGGGUGAUCGGCCACACUGGGACUGAGACACGGCCCAGACUCCUACGGGAGGCAGCAGUAGGGAAUCUUCCGCAAUGGACGAAAGUCUGACGGAGCAACGCCGCGUGAGUGAUGAAGGCUUUCGGGUCGUAAAACUCUGUUGUUAGGGAAGAACAAGUGCUAGUUGAAUAAGCUGGCACCUUGACGGU
rnacentral:rRNA from 1 species